AGCAGCCAGAGUGCACACAAGGAGGGCACCAGAGCGAAGGAGAAGAGGGCAUCCAAGCGGAACAGAAGCCCAGUGGGAUAGGAAGACGGGCGCCAUUCAAGAGAAUUGAGUGUGCAGUAAAGAGGAUCUGGGCUGACCAACAGUGUCUUCCACAGAUACACUUGCUAAUUCACGCAUGGAAGACCCAGAGUGUAUCACUCCCCUCAACUGCUGGACUACUGUGCUGCAAACUUUGAGUCAGAAUGAUGAGCUUCAGUCAGGCAUAUCAUGGCUCCUGAACAGGAUUUUGAGAGCAAGAUUCUGUGCCUCCCUCAUCCUGCUGCAGCCUCUCAGUGCAUCUAGGUGUUUCUGCUUCCAUUGUACAUAUCUAUCAAAAUAAAAUUGUUAUAAUUAAACAAACAAAUAAAUAGAUAAAUA
rnacentral:lncRNA from 1 species